CCAAGACCGUAUUCGCGUCCAGAAUCGUAACAUUUUCGAUAAGAUUAAAAAAACCUGCAAAAUCUGGUCCGCACGUUUUUAGCAACACAACAAAGUAUGACGAGAAGUUCCACGAUUUUUGCAGGUAUAGUACAUUCGCUUUUCGCCACCUCAUUGCCUUGGAUUCAUACACUGGAUCGGUUUAAUCUUCUUCUCUGUUUUUCCAUG